UCGGGUGUGGUGUACGGGACACCGCGCGUCUCCGUAACGAAAAUGUCUGACACUGAUGCCGCGCAGUCCGGGGUUCGACUCCCCGCACCCGAA